rnacentral:rRNA from 1 species
AGUGAACGCUGGCGGUAGGCCUAACACAUGCAAGUCGAACGGCAGCACAGUAAGAGCUUGCUCUUACGGGUGGCGAGUGGCGGACGGGUGAGGAAUACAUCGGAAUCUACUUUUUCGUGGGGGAUAACGUAGGGAAACUUACGCUAAUACCGCAUACGACCUACGGGUGAAAGCAGGGGAUCUUCGGACCUUGCGCGAUUGAAUGAGCCGAUGUCGGAUUAGCUAGUUGGCGGGGUAAAGGCCCACCAAGGCGACGAUCCGUAGCUGGUCUGAGAGGAUGAUCAGCCACACUGGAACUGGGACACGGUCCAGACUCCUACGGGAGGCAGCAGUGGGGAAUAUUGGACAAUGGGCGCAAGCCUGAUCCAGCCAUACCGCGUGGGUGAAGAAGGCCUUCGGGUUGUAAAGCCCUUUUGUUGGGAAAGAAAGGCAGCAGGUUAAUACCCCGCUGUUCUGACGGUACCCAAAGAAUAAGCACCGGCUAACUUCGUG